CCUACGGGAGGCUGCAGUGGGGAAUAUUGCGCAAUGGGGGAAACCCUGACGCAGCGAUGCCGCGUGGGUGAAUAAGGCCUUCGGGUUGUAAAGCCCUUUCAGUGGGGAAGAUAAUGACGGUACCCACAGAAGAAGCCCCGGCUAACUCCGUGCCAGCAGCCGCGGUAAUACGGAGGGGGCGGAGCGUUGUUCGGAAUUAUUGGGCGUAAAGGGCGCGUAGGCGGUCUAUCAAGUCAGGAGGUGAAAGCCUCAGGCUCAACCUGGGAACUGCUUUUGAAACUGGUAGACUAGAGUCCGGCAGAGGGUGGUGGAAUUCCCCGUGUAGAGGUGAAAUUCGUAGAUAUGGGGAGGAAGACCGGAGGCGAAGGCGGCCACCUGGACCGGUACUGACGCUGAGGCGCGAAAGCGUGGGUAGCAAACAGGAUUAGAUACCCCGGUAGUC
rnacentral:rRNA from 1 species